AGAUUGAACGCUGGCGGCAUGCUUUACACAUGCAAGUCGAACGGCAGCGCGGGGCAACCUGGCGGCGAGUGGCGAACGGGUGAGUAAUAUAUCGGAACGUACCCAAGAGUGGGGGAUAACGUAGCGAAAGUUACGCUAAUACCGCAUACGAUCUAAGGAUGAAAGCAGGGGACCGCAAGGCCUUGUGCUCCUGGAGCGGCCGAUAUCUGAUUAGCUAGUUGGUAGGGUAAAGGCCUACCAAGGCUACGAUCAGUAGCUGGUCUGAGAGGACGACCAGCCACACUGGAACUGAGACACGGUCCAGACUCCUACGGGAGCAGCAGUGGGAAUUUUGGACAAGUGGCGCAAGCCUGAUCCAGCAAUGCCGCGUGAGUGAAGAAGGCCUUCGGUUGAAGGCUCUUUGUCGAGGAGAAACGGUGGAGCGUAAUAGUCUACCUACUAAGUGACGGUACUGAAGAAGUAAGCGACCGGACUAACUACGU
rnacentral:rRNA from 1 species